rnacentral:rRNA from 1 species
UACGAGGGGGGCGAGCGUUGUUCGGAAUUAUUGGGCGUAAAGGGUGCGUAGGCGGUUUGGUAAGUCUUGUGUGAAAUCUCCGGGCUCAACUCGGAGCCUGCACGAGAAACUGCCGGGCUUGAGUGUGGGAGAGGUGAGUGGAAUUUCCGGUGUAGCGGUGAAAUGCGUAGAUAUCGGAAGGAACACCUGUGGCGAAAGCGGCUCACUGGACCAUAACUGACGCUGAUGCACGAAAGCUAGGGGAGCAAACAGG